GACGAACCGUGCGAACGUUGUUCGGAUUCACUGGGCUUAAAGGGCGCGUAGGCGGUCGUGACAAGUCACUUGUGAAAUCUCCGGGCUUAACUCGGAACGGUCAAGUGAUACUGUCGGACUAGAGUACAGAAGGGGCAACUGGAAUUCUCGGUGUAGCGGUGAAAUGCGUAGAUAUCGAGAGGAACACCUGCGGCGAAGGCGGGUUGCUGGGCUGAUACUGACGCUGAGGCGCGAAAGCCAGGGGAGCGAACGGG
rnacentral:rRNA from 1 species